rnacentral:rRNA from 1 species
CCUACGGGAGGCAGCAGUGAGGAAUAUUGGUCAAUGGGCUUACGCCUGAACCAGCCAAGUCGCGUGAGGGAAGACUGCCCUAUGGGUUGUAAACCUCUUUUGUCAGGGAGCAACGCCGGCUACGUGUAGCCGGACGGAGAGGACCUGAAGAAAAAGCAGCGGCGAACUCCGUGCCAGCAGCCGCGGUAAUACGGAGGAUGCGAGCGUGAACCGGAUUUAUUGGGUUUCAAGGGUGCGUAGGCGGAAUGCCAAGUCAGCGGUAAAAUCGCGGGGCUCAACCUCGCUCCGCCGUUGCAACUGGCGUUCUUGAGUGGGCGAGAAGUAUGCGGAAUGCGUGGUGUAGCGGUGCAAUGCAUAGCUAUCACGCAGAACUCCGAUUGCGCAGGCAGCAUACCGGCGCCCAACUGACGCUGACGCACGAAAGCGUGGGUAUCGACCAGGAUUAGAUACCCUUGUAGUC